rnacentral:rRNA from 1 species
GACGAACGCUGGCGGCGUGCUUAACACAUGCAAGUCGAACGGAAAGGCCCCCUUGUGGGGUACUCGAGUGGCGAACGGGUGAGUAACACGUGAGUAACCUACCCUUGACUUUGGGAUAACUUCAGGAAACUGGGGCUAAUACCGGAUAGGAGCUCCUGCUGCAUGGUGGGGGUUGGAAAGUUUCGGCGGUUGGGGAUGGACUCGCGGCUUAUCAGCUUGUUGGUGGGGUAGUGGCUCACCAAGGCUUUGACGGGGAGCCGGCCUGAGAGGGUGACCGGCCACAUUGGGACUGAGAUACAGCCCAGACUCCUACGGGAGGCAGCAGUGGGGAAUAUUGCACAAUGGGCGGAAGCCUGAUGCAGCAACGCCGCGUGCGGGAUGACGGCCUUCGGGUUGUAAACCGCUUUCGCCUGUGACGAAGCGUGAGUGACGGUAAUGGGUAAAGAAGCACCGGCUAACUACGUG